CUGGAAGAAUGGUGGAGGGCCUCACCAUUCUAGCUCUUGGGUCAGUGCCAGAGCUGUGACGGUGAGGCCCCCUGGCACCUCCCAACCCA
ensembl:miRNA eca-mir-9114 eca-mir-9114